UACGGAGGAUCCAAGCGUUAUCCGGAUUUAUUGGGUUUAAAGGGUGCGUAGGCGGAAUUGUAAGUCAGUGGUGAAAGCCCUUCGCUUAACGAAGGAACUGCCAUUGAUACUGCAAAUCUUGAGUACAUUUGAUGUGGGCGGAAUGUGUCAUGUAGCGGUGAAAUGCUUAGAUAUGACACAGAACACCGAUUGCGAAGGCAGCUCACAAAACUGUAAACUGACGCUGAGGCACGAAAGCGUGGGUAUCAAACAGG
rnacentral:rRNA from 1 species